GAUGAAGAACGUAGCGAAAUGCGAUACGUAAUGUGAAUUGCAGAAUUCAGUGAAUCAUCGAGUCUUUGAACGCACAUUGCGCCCCCUGGUAUUCCGGGGGGCAUGCCUGUCCGAGCGUCAUUGCUGCCCUCAAGCACGGCUUGUGUGUUGGGCCUCCGUCCUCCUCCCGGGGGACGGGCCCGAAAGGCAGCGGCGGCACCGCGUCCGGUCCUCGAGCGUAUGGGGCUUCGUCACCCGCUCUUGAAGGCCCGGCCGGCGCUUGCCGACACAUCAAUCUUUUUUCCAGGUUGACCUCGGAUCAGGUAGGGAUACCCGCUGAACUUAAGCAUAUCAAUAAGCGGAGGA
rnacentral:misc_RNA from 1 species